UACUCGGGCGGCGAGCGGCGGACGGCUGAGUAACGCGUGGGAACGUGCCCCAAAGUGAGGAAUAAGCUCAAGAAAUUGAGUCUAAUGCCGCAUAUGAUCUUCGGAUUAAAGGAUUUAUCCGCUUUGGGAGCGGCCCGCGUCAGAUUAGGUAGUUGGUGAGGUAAAGGCUCACCAAGCCGACGAUCUGUAGCUGGUCUGAGAGGAUGACCAGCCAGACUGGAACUGAGACACGGUCCAGACUCC
rnacentral:rRNA from 1 species